rnacentral:rRNA from 1 species
UAGGGAAUCUUCGGCAAUGGACGAAAGUCUGACCGAGCAACGCCGCGUGAGUGAAGAAGGUUUUCGGAUCGUAAAACUCUGUUGUUAGAGAAGAACAAGGACGUUAGUAACUGAACGUCCCCUGACGGUAUCUAACCAGAAAGCCACGGCUAACUACGUGCCAGCAGCCGCGGUAAUACGUAGGUGGCAAGCGUUGUCCGGAUUUAUUGGGCGUAAAGCGAGCGCAGGCGGUUUCUUAAGUCUGAUGUGAAAGCCCCCGGCUCAACCGGGGAGGGUCAUUGGAAACUGGGGGGCUUGAGUGCAGAAGAGGAGGGUGGAAUUCCAUGUGUAGCGGUGAAAUGCGUAGAUAUAUGGAGGAACACCAGUGGCGAAGGCGGCUCUCUGGUCUGUAACUGACGCGGAGGCUCGAAAGCGUGGGGAGCAAACAGA